AUUCUUACCUGAGAGGGGAGGUAAUAUGAUCAAGAAGGUGGUUUUCCCCAGACUUAGCUGUUGCAUUCCAGAUGUGCUGACCCUGUUAUUUCCCCAAAUGUGGGAAACUCAACUGCCUAAUUUGUGGGAGUGGGUGAGAGCAUAGUAAAAAUGCCUU
rnacentral:snRNA from 1 species